AACAAUGGCAUGCUCAGUUUUCCUUUGAUAAAAGUCACAUUUUCGAGUUUCCGGUAUGAGCUCGUUUGUAUGGACUGUUUUAUCUGUUAUGGUCUCACAAAGGACUUUGCAUGGUUUCUUCUAUGUUGGGUCGGCCGUUGUCGAGUGAUAAGACAACUUCUGAAUGGACUCGUUUAGAUUAUGUUUGGGUAUGCAUUGAGAUAGAUGCAGCCAAACCUCUCAAGCCCCAAUUUGAAUUUCAAUGCCGGUUAUCUAUUGAACCCAUACAGCUUACAAUGUAAUAUGAGUGGACUCUUAAGAGAUGCCCCAAGUGUUGUCUUUUUGGCCAUGUUUGUCACCAACCAGAGGUACCUAUUGCACCUAUGGCUCAGGGUAAGAGUAAGACAAUUAUUAGCUUCCAAAAGGCACCGGGGAGUGGUAUUGCAGUGCGAUCUGAGGACCGUGAGCCUUUGAGACAGUUAGCUACUACUGAUCCCAUUAAGGAUAGGGAGUGAGAGAGGGAUGUUUCAACACCAGUUUGUGUUUCAGUUUCGGGAUGGGCUACUACCAUACAUUCUAGUGAAGCUACAGUUACAGAUGUUUCUUUCGCUUUGAUCCCGUAUUAGCAAACUAUUUGUGCCAGUAGAGGUAAAUUCUCUAACUCUAAUUCUGGGUCGGAUCUUGACACGCCUUUUCUUAUUGAAGACGAGAUGGACUGCAUUAUGGGUUUCACAAAUUGCACGGAAAACACUCGGGCUUCCUUUACGAGUUUUGGGAGUAGGCAAUCUACUUUUGCCAACAGGUUUUCCUCGCUUGUUCUACAUAAUGAUGAUCUCUAGACGUCAGAUGCCACUUUAUUUGGAUCAGUUUCCCUGCCACCCUUGGAAAAGGGGAAAGGUCGGGGAAAGCGGGGCUUAGACCCAAGUGAUUGUUUAGCUUGUUUCUAACCCAAUUCUAAUGAUAGGGAGUUGGAAUAUUAGAAGCCUUAACGACUUCUCGAAACAACGCGCAGUGAGGAAUUAUAUUUCUUAUUCUUCUUUGGGUUUGAUUGGCUUGUUGGAGACUAAGGUUAGCAGUUUCAUCUACAGUCGGUGGUCUCGAUAGUUUGUUCUUUAUGGCAGUGUUUGUCAAAUGCGACAGAUUCUAUUGCCUGUUGAGUUCUGGUAUGUUGGGAUCCUUCUCUUUACUCUGUGAAUAGCCUUCAUUUCUCUCUUCAAGAGGUCACUUGCAGGGUUAUGUUUUAGAGGGGUUCUCCUUCGGGAUUACUUUUGUGUAUGGUUCUAAUGACCCUGGGAAAUCGCCGCAACCUAUGGGAUUUCCUUAGGGAUCAGGCGGCGGAGUUUGAUUCGGAAGGGUUACUAUGGUUUGUGUUGGGUGAUUUUAAUGCCAUUUUGGGAGCCUCUGAUAGAGUGGGUGGUGAUCUUGUGUGGUAUGGUUAUAUGGAUGAUUUCGGCUACUGUAGUCAUGAUGCUAAGUUGAUUGGGUUUCCUUUUACUAGGCUUCGGUAUACUUGGCAUAAAAGGCAACAGGGCGAUGGGAUUAUUCUACGGAAGCUUGAUUGGGUCUUUGCAUCGCUUUCUUGGUUCAUUAAUCGGCCGACCAUAGUUUCAGAGUUUAACCUCGGGAUGUCUCAGAUCAUCACUUUAUGUUUGUUCGGUUUGGCUCUCAUCAUGGCAAGGCAAACGUUGCAAAACAAGGGCGGUUGCUUGGUUUGGGCGUGGGAACAAAGUACAUUGGAGUAACAAUUUCAAACUGAGGGCAGUUGCUUGGUUCGGACGUAGGAACAAAGUAUGUUGGUGGUUGUUUCAAAUUGAGGGCGGUUGCUUGGUUUGGACGUAGGAACAAAGUAUGUUGGAGUGGCUUACAGUAUGAGUCUGCAUAAUUUAGUGCUGUAAUUUAAUUUUUGUUUAUGUGGGUGUUAAUAUGUAGAAAUUAAUUAGUAAAAGUUAUAUUAUGUAUUUGAAUUAUUAUGUUAGGCUUUCCGUGGAGGUGAAUCUUGUGUUUAUGGUGUUUAUAAUGAUUUGGCUGUAAAUUGUAUUAUGACAGAUAACUUAUAAUCUUUA